rnacentral:rRNA from 1 species
UCUACGGGACGCAGCAGUGAGGAAUAUUGGUCAAUGGGCGGGAGCCUGAACCAGCCAAGUAGCGUGAAGGAAGAAGGAUCUAUGGUUCGUAAACUUCUUUUGCAGGGGAAUAAAGUGCAGGACGUGUCCUGUUUUGUAUGUACCCUGAGAAUAAGGAUCGGCUAACUCCGUGCCAGCAGCCGCGGUAAUACGGAGGAUCCGAGCGUUAUCCGGAUUUAUUGGGUUUAAAGGGUGCGUAGGUGGUUUGAUAAGUCAGCGGUGAAAGUUUGCAGCUUAACUGUAAAAAUGCCGUUGAAACUGUCGGACUUGAGUGUAAAUGAGGUAGGCGGAAUGCGUGGUGUAGCGGUGAAAUGCAUAGAUAUCACGCAGAACUCCGAUUGCGAAGGCAGCUUACUAAGCUACAACUGACACUGAAGCACGAAAGCGUGGGGAUCAAACAGGAUUAGAUACCCUGGUAGUCCACGCAGUAAACGAUGAUUACUAGCUGUUUGCGAUACACAGUAAGCGGCACAGCGAAAGCGUUAAGUAAUCCACCUGGGGAGUACGCCGGCAACGGUGAAACUCAAAGGAAUUGACGGA